rnacentral:lncRNA from 7 species
AAAGCCGCGACGCCUCAAAUGCUAUAUAUUAUUGAUUGAUGAACAGAAAGUGAACAUGGAUGCAUGGCAACACAAGAGAUGAGGUGGGAGAAAAUAUAAAAGGUACAGUGACAAUAUGUGAGAUAACAUAGGCUUGCAUAUAGUUGUACUAAUUAAUAAUCUAUGUAUGCCUAGCUUCGUCGUCCUUGCAUAAGAAAGUAUUCCUGCCGACGAUGUUGCUGCGACUGCGAGUAAUAUUCCAUGCCGAACUCGAAAUCCCGGCCGGAAGGCUCCACUGGGUGUUGAAGCGCGCGGGGGGGCGCCACGUCAGAAGCUGCCGGCGGAGUCGGAGGAGCCUUCGUCGCCGUUGGCACCACCAUGCUCAGUGCAGACGACGACGAUGGAUCAUCAUCCGUUUCGUACCUCCUGGAUGAUGGUACAUCGCCAUCAGGUUUGGCAAGUUGUGUGCUCUUGCUAACUGGUGGCAAUGGCGAACAAGAACCAGCAUCAUACGCCUUGGCAGGUGGCGGCAGCGGCGGCGGCGGCGGCACACACUGACGACGAGGAACUAUCGCCUGCAGCGGUGGCGGCGUGUCGUAUACCGUAAUCGUCGGAGGUCGAGGCGGGUGCGGU